rnacentral:rRNA from 1 species
CAGGAUGGAUGCUGGCGGAGUGCUUAACACAUGCAAGUCGAACGAACCUUCGGGUACGUGGCACGCGGGUGCCUAACGAGAGGGAAUCGACCCUCAGGAGGGGGAUGACGGCUGGAAACGGCCGCUAAUACCCCAUAUGCCGAGAGGUGAAAUGAAUUUCGCCUGAGGAUGAGCCCGCGUCUGAUUAGCUAGUUGGUGGGGUAAUGGCCCACCAAGGCUUCGAUCAGUAGCUGGUCUGAGAGGAUGAUCAGCCACACUGGGACUGAGACACGGCCCAGACUCCUACGGGAGGCAGCAGUGGGGAAUUUUCCGCAAUGGGCGAAAGCCUGACGGAGCAACGCCGCGUGAGGGAUGAAGGCCUCUGGGCUGUAAACCUCUUUUCUCAAGGAAGAAGACAUGACGGUACUUGAGGAAUAAGCCACGGCUAAUUCCGUGCCAGCAGCCGCGGUAAUACGGGAGUGGCAAGCGUUAUCCGGAAUUAUUGGGCGUAAAGCGUCCGCAGGCGGCCUUGUAAGUCUGUCGUUAAAGCGUGGAGCUUAACUCUAUUUCGGCGAUGGAAACUGCAAGGCUAGAGUGUGGUAGGAGAGGAGGGAAUACGCGGUGUAGCGGUGAAAUGCGUAGAUAUCGCGGAGAACACCAGUGGCGAAGGCGCUCUGCUGGACCAUAACUGACGCUCAUGGACGAAAGCCAGGGGAGCGAAAGGGAUUAGAUACCCCUGUAGUCCUGGCCGUAAACGAUGAACACUAGGUGUCGGGGG